rnacentral:rRNA from 1 species
UCCUGCAGCUCUCGCCUGGUUUCUCACUGAAGCUAAGCAGGGUUAAGCCUGGCUAUUACUUGGAUGGGAGACCUCCUGGGGAAAACUAAGGUUUGCUGCUGGAA